GGCGUGUGCAGAGUCCGCUCAGGUCUGAAGUUCUGCAGCCGGAAACAUCUGCAGCGGUACUGCUGACUCAGCUGACAGGAAGAGAUCAGACACACAUCACCUGGACAGACACUGAGCAGCAGGUGGAGCCAGAUCUCAGUGAAGCCUCUGUGAACCUCCCUGUGUGGAGCCUCUGGGUUUGUUGACUCUGGGUCAACUCUCAGUGAGGAGGACAAAGUCUGAUCUGGAUCACACAGUCCUCAGGCUCUCUGGUCUCCAACAAACACAACUAAACUAAAAACAUUCAACAGAUUCAGAGAAGAUGAAACGAGUCGACAUGUGGAGAGAAACAAACUCAGAGUAAAGUCCGACUCUGAGUCUCCUCUGAUGUUCUGACUCUGUUUGACUGUGACACUGAAGGAAAGUGAGAACAGGAGGAUUCUGAAUGAAGCUCUGCAGCCUCUGUUUCCUCUGAGCUUUUAUUCUGAAAGCAUGUCUCUGUCACUGAUCAGUUUCCAUGGCGACCACAAACGCCAACGCUCUGUCCUCCACGCCGAUCAUCUUGUGAUUAAACACCAGCAGCCACGGAUCAGAGCAGAGACUGGAAGUGGAAUAUGAUUGGUCGGUUCAGGGACAGGAAGUGGAAAUGACUGGUCAGCCGAGGUCAUUUCCACCCGCUGCUGAAGAGAGCUGCAGGUCUGAAGGAGGAGAGGAACAUCCUGGACUCGUCUGACCUCUGACCGCCGAGGCUUUUAUUUUGAAAAUCCUCCAUCACACUGACUUUUAUUGUUAAGGUUCUGUCAGUGAUGAGAAUCACAGUCCUCAGCUCUUCUCUCAGACAGGAAAUGUCAGCAGCAGAUUAAAAUGACAAGUCGCAGCAGAACCGUCCGUCCUCUGUUACACAACAGCAGAGGUCAGAGGUCACGGAGGCCCAGCGGGACAGCGAACGCCUCACGACUGAAAAACACCAGAUGGAGCAGAAAGAAACACAUUCAUCAACGUUUUCACUGUUUCAGCUGAAACUGCAGCGACAGUGACACUGAGUGGGGUCUCCUGGGCACAGCAGCAGGGGCCGCAGGGGUCAGGGGUCAGAGGUCGGGGGGUGUGGGGGUCGGUACAGUGUGCUGUAGUUUAAUAUCUGUACAGUGUCAGUGAAGGUCAACAGGAAGCUUCAGACACGAGUCAGCAAAACAUAACACACACACACACACACACACACACACACACCACACAGACACACACACACACACAGACACACACACACACACACAGACACACACAUACGCUCAGCUCCCUGUUGUUUUGUUCAGCAGUGGUGGUCACGGUGGUGGGAUUGGUCUAAUUCCUGGCUCAGUGUCAGUCCGAGCCGAACAGAUGAAUUAAACGUCCCGGAGCUUUUUUGUCCUGGACAGUCGACACAAAGCUCAUUGGCUCGUUCAGCCCGUCGUCAUGGAAACGGGAAGGUUGGAGACGAGAGGUGUGAACGUUUCCAGUUUCACAGAGUCUCUGUCUCAGUCUGAAUAAAUUCAGGUUAUUUACUGAGCAGAAACAUUAAAAACACAAGGAUCAAUCAUCAGUUUGACUUUUUUAAAACAUAAAAACAUCAUCAGAUUAAUGUCAUUUAUUCAGUUUAUUUACUGAAUCAUCAGGAUUUAUUCUGCUGCAGGUUUAGGACUCUGUACAGUGUAUAUGUGUUGUAUAGAUGUUGUAUAAUCACUUCUUACUUUAUUUAAUUUAAUGUUAUAAUUGUCACUUUUCUUUAAAAGCCUCUGAUAAUAGUUUUCAUUCUGUUGGUGUGUCACAUUCAUCUCUGUGUUUGACACAAGUUGAAUAAAGUUUUAUCUAUUUACAAUAAUAUGAGGUUGGAAUGGAAAUCUGCUUUUCUUCUACUAAUUCUGAUGAUCCCAGGAGUCCCCCACACCGCCCACCCCCCGGGCCUGAGGCCAUAGAAACCUGAUGAGACCAGAGGAAAACAGCCUCAGUGUUGUAAUCUGUAAGUGUGUGUGUGUGUGUGUGUGUGUGUGUGUGUGGAUGGUGGAUGGGUGGGGGGGGUUCAGUCUUUUAUACCGACAGGAAAUGAGAUGAAAAUAAAGUUUCUGUGGAUUCACAGAGAUUUGAUUUAAGGUGGAAGUUUCUGUUGAGAAACAAAGCGUCUGUGCAUUCACAGAGUUUUCAGGUUGGAUAGUCUGAGCAGUGGCGUGGGCGUCUCCAUGGCGACAGCUGAGACGUUUUGAAGACUUCCAGUAAAAACACAGAGAGUGAAAGAAAAAGAGGAACGCUGCUGAUUCACAGAAAAUUCCCAGAAAAUUCCCAGGACAUCAGAUCAUGUUCCAGGCUCAGAGGUGAAGAAAUAAAUAUGUUUAAUAAAAGCACAGGGUGAUAAACUGUACAUAUAUACACACAGAACAGGAAGCAGUACCACACUGAACCUUCACCUCCUCUGACAGGUCAAAGGUCAAAGGUCAGAGGUCACAGGAAGCUGAAGCAAAGCUUUAACUCAGAGCAAUGUCUCAGUUUCAGAGUGAAUCUUCAGGUUAAAGGGACAGUUCACAAAGUUACUGAUUGUGUUUCCAGCUCCUGACUCUGACCCAAGGUCUUCAUCAGGUCUUAUCGUUGUCUGUGUGACAGACAGUCACACUCACCAAUCACAAGAGGCCUGAGUCAAAGCAACUGUGGAAACGCCC